CCUACGGGAGGCAGCAGUGGGGAAUUUUGGACAAUGGGGGAAACCCUGAUCCAGCAAUGCCGCGUGUGUGAAGAAGGCCUUCGGGUUGUAAAGCACUUUUAUUCGGAGAGAAAUCCCUUGGGCUAAUACCCUGAGGGUCUGACGGUACCGGAUGAAUAAGCGCCGGCUAACUACGUGCCAGCAGCCGCGGUAAUACGUAGGGCGCGAGCGUUAAUCGGAAUUACUGGGCGUAAAGCGUGCGCAGGCGGUUUUGUAAGACAGAUGUGAAAGCCCCGGGCUCAACCUGGGAAUUGCAUUUGUGACUGCAAGGCUAGAGUGUGUCAGAGGGAGGUGGAAUUCCGCGUGUAGCAGUGAAAUGCGUAGAGAUGCGGAGGAACACCGAUGGCGAAGGCAGCCUCCUGGGAUAACACUGACGCUCAUGCACGAAAGCGUAGGGGANCAAACAGGAUUAGAUACCCUGGUAGUCCACGCCCUAAACGAUGUCAACUAGUUGUCGGGAAUUAAUUCUUGGUAACGCAGCUAACGCGUGAAGUUGACCGCCUGGGGAUACGGCCGCAAGGUUAAAACNCGAAAGAUUGACG
rnacentral:rRNA from 1 species